rnacentral:rRNA from 1 species
GAUGAACGCUGGCGGCGUGCCUAAUACAUGCAAGUCGAGCGAACGGACGAGAAGCUUGCUUCUCUGAUGUUAGCGGCGGACGGGUGAGUAACACGUGGAUAACCUACCUAUAAGACUGGGAUAACUUCGGGAAACCGGAGCUAAUACCGGAUGAUAUUUUGAACCGCAUGGUUCAAAAGUGAAAGACGGUCUUGCUGUCACUUAUAGAUGGAUCCGCGCUGCAUUAGCUAGUUGGUAAGGUAACGGCUUACCAAGGCAACGAUGCAUAGCCGACCUGAGAGGGUGAUCGGCCACACUGGAACUGAGACACGGUCCAGACUCCUACGGGAGGCAGCAGCAGGGAAUCUUCCGCAAUGGGCGAAAGCCUGACGGAGCAACGCCGCGUGAGUGAUGAAGGUCUUCGGAUCGUAAAACUCUGUUAUUAGGGAAGAACAUAUGUGUAAGUAACUGUGCACAUCUUGACGGUACCUAAUCAGAAAGCCACGGCUAACUACGU